GCAUCGUCUCUUUGUGACAGCUGCCCUUACUGCCUGGACUCCUCCUGUGUGUGCACCAUGGAAGCAGUGGGCCUAUAUAUUUUCAUUAUGGAAAGGGAAUGUAAUUGCUCAGUGUGAUACCAGUGAAACUAGACAGGAACCCAUGCUCAGACUACAUCCAUGGACAAUUACAAUGCAAACUAUUGUGAUCACUACCAGAUCUCGGACAAAAUGUUGAAACAAACUGAAAUCUAAAUCCUACUACUUUUAUAGAAUUACUGGAGCGAUGCACUCCAUUUCUGCCUCUCUGAUCUGCUGACUCAUUCAUUUCCUCUUACCAGUGAAGAUAAGAAGAAGACUGCUGGCCUGAAAACAAGCAGUUGAAGGUCUGGUAUGAGCACCUGGCCAGCUUGCCUUCAGUGCACAGACACAGAUAAAACCUGGCUGUUUUGUCUUCGGUCUUCUUUGAGGAUUUCCACUGUAGACAGCUCAGCAUCCUGUCAAAACACCCAAGCCAGAUAAAAAUCAAACAAAACAGAGAUUAUUGUGAGGAAUGUAUCUUCCUGUUGAAGAUGCUUAUCAGCCAUUUGUUUUUUAUUUGACCAAUGAAUAGUCUGAUUUGAUUCCCAGUUAUUCCUUGAUUGUCUUAGAAGUAGCCAGAACAUCUUUCUUUUAUAUGUGGCCAAGAGGAUGCAAUCUUCAUUCAUAGGUGCAAACAUCCAUAUUAUGAUCUAUGUAAACUCUACUUAUUAAGUCUAUUAAAAUAAUUUUGUUGGUGCAGAGAAAAGGGUUCCAUCUGUUCACUGGAGGAAUGUCAAG
rnacentral:lncRNA from 1 species